UACAGAUCACAAAUUUCAUGCAAAAAUUUGUCAUAUAAUUUUAUAAAUGUUUUUCUGUUCGAAAUCGAUUUCAAGUUAUAUAAAUUAAAUCGCAUUUUGAAAAUGCAUCCGUUGCGACAUUCAAUACGAUUUAAAGAAACUCUUAAAAUCGUAUUUCGAAAGAACAGGUCAAGAGAGAUAAGUUUAAGAGGAUCGGAAUCAGCGCACGAUGACGAUUACGGUGUUUGCGAGAGGGCGCGACAUAAAGGCGACCUUUCCGCGAAUUGUGAAACGCGAAUGACGACGUCGUAGAGCGAGUUAUAAACAUACCACCGUGCUCGGCGACUUUCCGCAACAUUUCCGGCGAAUAUAUAAGCAUACCAUAAACGGAGUAUGAUGACCCAAGGCUAACAGUCUCAAACCCAAACCAUGAAGAUUGCAUCCAGGAGGAGCAUAUUACUUUCUUGGGCUUUGAUGGUAUGCGAAAAAAGGCAGUAU